CCUACGGGUGACUGCAGUGGGGAAUAUUGGGCAAUGGGCGCAAGCCUGAUCCAGCAACGCCGCGUGAAGGAAGAAGGCAUUCGGGUUGUAAACUUCUUUUAUCAAGGACGAAACAAAUGACGGUACUUGAGCAGUCAGUCACGGCUAACUACGUGCCAGCAGCCGCGGUAAUACGGAGGUGGCAAGCGUUAUCCGGAUUUACUGGGUGUAAAGGGCGUGUAGGCGGGACGGCAAGUCAGGUGUGAAAAACAUGGGCGUAACCCAUGGCCUGCAUUUGAAACUGUAGGUCUUGAGUGUUGGAGGGGCAGGCGGAAUUCCGUGUGUAGCGGUGAAAUGCGUAGAUAUUCGGAGGAACACCAGUGGCGAAGGCGGCCUGCUGGACAGUAACUGACGCUGAGGCGCGAAAGCGUGGGGAGCAAACAGGAUUAGAUACCCCUGUAGUC
rnacentral:rRNA from 1 species